UACGUAGGGGGCAAGCGUUGUCCGGAUUUAUUGGGCGUAAAGAGCGUGUAGGCGGUUAGGUAGGUCCGUUGUGAAAACUCGAGGCUCAACCUCGAGACGCCGAUGGAAACCAUCAGACUAGAGUCCGGAAGAGGAGAGUGGAAUUCCUGGUGUAGCGGUGAAAUGCGCAGAUAUCAGGAAGAACACCCGUGGCUAAGGCGGCUCUCUAGUACGGUACUGACGCUGAGACGCGAAAGCGUGGGGAGCGAACAGG
rnacentral:rRNA from 1 species